AGUGAACGCUGGCGGUAGGCCUAACACAUGCAAGUCGAACGGCAGCACAGUAAGAGCUUGCUCUUACGGGUGGCGAGUGGCGGACGGGUGAGGAAUACAUCGGAAUCUACUUUUUCGUGGGGGAUAACGUAGGGAAACUUACGCUAAUACCGCAUACGACCUACGGGUGAAAGCAGGGGAUCUUCGGACCUUGCGCGAUUGAAUGAGCCGAUGUCGGAUUAGCUAGUUGGCGGGGUAAAGGCCCACCAAGGCGACGAUCCGUAGCUGGUCUGAGAGGAUGAUCAGCCAAACGGGAACUGAGACACGGUCCAGACUCCUACGGGGGGCAGCGGUGGGGAAUAUUGGACAAUGGGGGCAAGCCUGAUCAGCCAUACCGCGUGGGUGAAGAAGGCCUUCGGGUUGUAAAGCCCUUUUGUUGGGAAAGAAAAGCAGCAGGUUAAUACCCCGCUGUUCUGACGGUACCCAAAGAAUAAGCACCGGCUAACUUCGUG
rnacentral:rRNA from 1 species